rnacentral:tRNA from 1 species
UGGGGUAUAGCUCAGUGAUAGAGUGCAUGCUUGGCAUGCAGGAGGUCCUGGGUUCAAUCCCCAGUGCCUCUG